GGGGAAGGUCUGUCUCCUGAGUGAGGAGACCUGCACCUGGGACAGCGCAGUGCUGGGCAGGCUUGGGGGAGUAAAAGGGAACUCCAGCCCGCUACCUGCCAGGCUGCAGGCCCUGAGGGAAGGGCCUAGCCAGUGCAAAGGGGCCGAAGGGGAAGCGGCCCAGGGAGAGAGGCGCACAAGGGAGAGAAGGAGGGCAGGAAGGCUGCCACCAAAGGGUCCCUGGGUCCCCCCCUUGCAUGAACACCCAGCCAGUGGAUGUGGUGAUAGUGGACUGCACCAGACCCCUGACGCUAGGGGUUAGACAUUGGGGUGUGGUUGACCAUGGUGGCUGGGGUGCAGAGACCCCCGGAAGGGGGUGAGACCGGAGCAGUGGGCACUGCUGGAGGGCAGUGUCCUGAAGAGGACGCCACUGAGCAGGAAGCAACUUGGGUCCAGACAACAACAAAGGAGCAGAGGACAGAUGGGACACCACCAGCAGCGGGCACCCCACCAAGGACUGAGCUAAUUCUCGGAGUGACCAGCGGGAGGCACCGCGGUGAAUGCUAGAAUACUUAUACUCAGAACACUUUACUGCUGUGACCAGGUACCUGUAGUCAAGGAGACGCUCCAUGAGGCGAGUAACUGAUGUAACAAAAGAGACGCCAGUCUCCCGCCACGUCUCUUGUUCAAUCUUCUCCAGCAGGCUGUUUGGAAAUGAAGAGGCAGCAUAUGAGGCUUUCCUAGAAAUGGUAUAGAUCCUACAGGGAGCCAGGAGCAACUUUCUUUCUCUCUCAUACAGAAGACUGACAGAAUUACAGUCUUACCUGGGGUAGGGCCCAAAGAGCUGGGUUCUACUCCAUGCAGCAUGAAGCAAAGACACAAAAAGAUGGAAUUGGCAGCAAAAGUUAAACUGUUAAAUUCUGGUCUCUAAUGAGCAAUCCCAGUUCAACAUCUUGCAUCACAACUGUUAUCAGAGAUACCAUCAGCCGAAGCAAGGGAAACACAGAACAUUGUUUUUGCCAGGUGACUCCCAAGCAGUACCCCUGGAGGAGGGUGGAAGUUCACUGACAUGUACAUUACAACAUAGCUCUGCCAAAACAGUGUCGUCCCUGGCCUGCUGAGUGAUGGCACAAUGAAUGGUAAAUGUGUGAACAGAGGACCACGUUACAGCUCUACAGAUGUCCUGGAUAGGGAUGUGCACCAGGAAGGCCGACAAAGACGCCUGCGCUCUCACUGAGUGGGCUCUGACAAUCGGCGGCGGAACCCCUCGUCCACUUGACCAGGGCCCUGCUGAUGAGCGGAAUCGGAGGGAACGUGUAGGGGCAGGCUCCCUGACCACGACAGGAGGAAGGCGUCUGAGAGGGAGCCAUUGCUCAGACCUUGACGAGAAAAAAACCAGUGGCAUUUCCUGUUCUGUCUGGUAGCGAACAGGUCCACUUGGGGAGUUCCCCACCUUUGGAAGAUCAUGCAGGCUACCUCUGGAUGGAGCGACCACUUGUGUUGAGGGGAGAAGCCCUGCUGAGCUGGUCCGCCGGCAUAAUUCUGAUGCUGGGAAGGUGACACGCUUCCAGGUGGAUCUCAUGGCUGAUGCAGAAGUCCCAUAGACAGAGGGCCUCCUGACAGAGAGCUGAUGAGCACAGUCCCCCUGGUCUGUUGAUGUAGAAAAUUGAGGCUGUGUUGUCUGUCAGGACUCGUACCAACUUGCUCGACAGGUGGGGCAAGACUCUGCAUGUCAGCUGGACUGCUCAGAGCUCUUUGAUGUUUAUGUGUAAGCAUGCUUCAUCCAGAGACCACAUCCCGAGUCUGGAGGACACCGAUAUGUGCCCCCCCGCUGAGGUCCGAGGCAUCUGACACCAAUUUGAUGGAGUCGGGAGGGUUGUCGAACAGAAUGCCUUCCAGGACUGAUCUGUGGUUGGUCCACCACCUCAGCGAGUAGACCCAGAGAGGGCACAUAGUGAAGCUCCGCAACAUCCCUUUGGACUUGAGACCUAGAGCUGCCCUUGACGAGCCAGUCAUCGAGGUACGGGUAGAUCUGGAUACCUCGGUGCCUGAGUACACAUGUAACCUGGGGGUCCACAACAUCUGAAGCCACUUCUUUCACUUCCCAUUAGCACUGUGAACUCAGAGAACAUACAACACCACAGCUGACCAAUCAGCCUUCAGGAACAGGUCCAUGACAUCAACUUGCAAUAUGGACCCCUCCAGUACUUCAGUUAGUCAACUGUGAUGCUACAGUUAGGUUAGCUAAUA